CUUUAAUGGGAAACUCAGAGAAGAAAGUCCAGGAGACCUGGGAACUGUCACCACCUGCACAGGGAGGGAAGAUUGAUGUCGAGGACCAGGAUGUGAACAUACCCAUGAAUUAUUCUUCAGUGCCAAGGACACUUCCAAGCUCCCCCAUGCGACAUUCAUCAGCACUCAGAAACAAGACUAAAGGAACUUUUAAAACAAGAAAG
rnacentral:lncRNA from 1 species